CCCGUGGACGAGGAUGAACUUGUCUCCUUCGUCAUUGCCGGAUAGGACCUUGACUACAACUCUGUAGUCACAGUUAUCGACGCCUGCACGGAUCAGGUCACCGUCGACUUCUUCUAUGCACACGUGUGGAAUUUUGACC
rfam:Hordeum vulgare subsp. vulgare, WGS project CAJW01000000 data, contig: morex_contig_160580